ensembl:lncRNA
GUAUGUUGUGUGCAUCAAAUACACUUUGCAGUUGUCCCUGUUUCUAAGUAUUUCCAAGGCUGGUUCUGAACAGAGUGGCCACUAUCCUUCCCAUCAACAGAUGACAUACACCUGUUGUAAGAUCUGAGGAUGGACCAAGGGAAGAGGUCCAAGUGGCUGGAAGUUCACAGUAAAUGCUGUAGACACUGUAGGCUGGCUGUUCUUCUUGUCUUUGAAGCAGAGAGAAAAACUGGUCCAUUCAUUAAAUCAAGCUCCUGCCCCCACCCAGGCCUGCUCAGAAGACCCCAAGCCACUCAGAAGCAGGAGGCAGCCGCCAUCAACCCAACAAGCUCCAUAUCCAUUCCAGACUCAGGAUUACAACAAUUUGGGAAAGGGUCAACCAAGUCAGAGCCCCACAGGGCAGAAGAGCUGCUUUAGCUUAAGUCUCUUAACUCUUUUUCCUCGGGCAGGAAAGGUUUGAGCCAAUGAAGGAUGAGGCUUUCCAGGCCCAGGACACAACCUUGAUCCAAGGCCUAGUUGUGGCUUUAAUUUUUGUAAAUCAAGCCUCAAGUUUUUCUUCACUCUCUUAGGCAAAGAUAUGUUUCCCAGGCUGGAUGAACAAAAUAAAUAAAAGUUGUACCAAAUUAGAGAUUGUGAGACACAUGUGUCACUUAAACCCUUUGCAGGCAAGCAGGAAUCACUGAUUCACUAAAUUCUUUCCUAAGCUUUUUUCCCUCUGAACCAUUGUCUUCAUAAGAUCAUCCCAUACUUGGAAAACAUUUGUCUAAUUAUCAUCACACACAAUGGGCCCGCUGCCAGCUGCUUUUUAUUUUAACUUCAGAUUCUUUCCAGGGUGUUUGUUUUUUUUUCCCCUUGGGGUGGGGAGCAGGAGAGAGGAGUGUGUGUCUGUUUUUGCUAUUACAAAGAACUGAUCAGAUUUCCUUUUAUAAUCACAAUUAACCUUCCAGACCCAAUCAUAUGAAUAUUUCAGGUUGAGAAGAUCUGGGUGUACACUGACUCAGUCAAUCUCAGAAACCUUCCACAAGAGGAGGUGAGAAACUGAUGGGUGAGGUCAAGUAAAUCAUUCUGGAAGCAUAAAGAGCAUAGAUGGACUAGAGGACCUCAAGGCUGACUCUGAGCUCAGUGUUCUCUCCAUUAGCUGACUGGGUACCAUGAGGUUAAGCCCAAAAUUCAUUACUGUAGUCCCUCUAACAGGAAGGGAAGUCCUAAGAAAGCAGGGCCUUUGUACAUCUUGUCCACAGCAGCCCCCACACAGCAUCGGACAAGAUGCUAUAGCCCCAGCACCUGCUUGGUGUUUGAUGCAGUUGGUGAACAGCAAAUACUAGUUGAAAAUAAAUUACUCUUUGUCACUCUGUACCCUACAGUAGCAGAAGUGGAGAUUCAUAAAAUCUCUCUAUCAAACAGGACUGUCAAGCAUUUAAAACCUGGUCAGACCAGGGGCAGCUCUCAAUGGGUCUUAAGAACAGCAAUGUGGCUGAUGGAAAUCGUGUUGGGGCUAUGGAUGCAACGGCACAGCCAACUCAGUUUUACUUCCAUUCCAUUUUAUUUCAGGGUUCCUGAUGGAGUCUUCAGGGAGGGGUGCAAUCAUCUCCUCCACUCCUUGGCACCAUAGUGGCUCAGACCAAUAGGCUAGAGGUAUGAAGCUGUGUUUAUGAAAGCUGGAGGAAAAAAAAAAGACAGAGAGACUAAAAGAUGCAGGGCCUUGGAAGAGGUUUCCCUCUGCUGCCUGGAGUCUGCCUUCCUACCCAUGAAGAACAGGGAGUAUGAGAGUAUGAGGAGAAAUGUCUAUGAAAUGAAAUCUCAGUAGUCUCCCAGACUUUCAGCAAUAGAUAAUAUGGAUAACAUUCUGAAGGGAGAGCAUUUUCAUCAGGCAUCUAAAACCUCUCAGAAGUGGAGCCCUAAAUUACCAUUCACUCUCCCACUGAUGUGAACAACAGCCCGUGUGGUCCACCCUACCCCUCCUCCCCACUACUGUGGAGGUGGCUCACAAUAACUAGCUCUCUUUAAAUGCAUAUGUAUUCUAAAGGGGCUAAUCCUGUAAAUAAGGCAUGCCUAGGUGAGAUUGACUUUUGUAAGAAUCUAACAACUAAUAUUAACCAGUAUUUAGGAAUGAGAAAGGUACUUCAGUAUGUAUUGGAGUUUUCUUGCUUUCUUUUUUUGGAGGGGUGGAAAAAAGAGGAAUAGUGAUGGGGAUGUUAUUAAGUGAAAAAACAUUAUUAUGUGUUUUGUAUUCACUAGGAAUUAAGUUUAUAAUCUAGGAGUUGAACAGAGCAAACACCUGAAUGACUCUGAAACAUAUCUACAUCAAUGGUAGCAAACAAAUUACUAUGAGAGUCCGGAUACAGGGGGGUUUUGAGCAAAGCCUUGGAGGAUUUUGACCAGCAGAGAUGGGAAAAGGGGAUGCCAGGUGUGAGAAGUUUCAAGAGAAGCUCUAGGGGGAAGAGAGCCUGAGGAAUCAGACUGCUGGAGAAGGUGAGACAGACAAAUGCUCACAGGAGAGGUGAGCAAGAGAACUGGCAUGGGAGCCAAGUCAUCCCAGGGAGGUUCAAGUCAGAGAGGCUCAGGGCCACAACCAGACUUCCUCAGUGGAUCUGGUGGGAUCUUGUUCAAUCAGCAGUCUGCAGCCUGGUGACUCAGAGGCAGGGAAAGCACAGAGGCUUUUUGUGAGAUAAGGGAUACAAAGUUGGCCUUACACAAUCACUGUGGUGGUG